rnacentral:sRNA from 1 species
CAGAUGGCUCUAGAGGCUGAUCGUCUGUCCACAGAAUGGCUACAGCCUGGUCAGUUGUUGGUCAGGUUACCACAACAAUGUCCCACAAAUAUGUUCCACUCCUGCCUUGGAGGGACCCCUCUAGGGGUGAGAUGGUGCUUCAUUCUCCAUCCUCUUUCAGCCUUUGGCCUCU